rnacentral:rRNA from 1 species
UACAGAGGGUGCAAGCGUUGUUCGGAAUCAUUGGGCGUAAAGCGCACGUAGGCGGCUUCGCAAGUCAGGUGUGAAAGCCCAGGGCUCAACCCUGGAAGUGCACUUGAAACUGCGAGGCUUGAAUCCUAGAGAGGGCAGUGGAAUUCCGAGUGUAGAGGUGAAAUUCGUAGAUAUUCGGAGGAACACCAGUGGCGAAGGCGACUGCCUGGAUAGAGAUUGACGCUGAGGUGCGAAAGCGUGGGGAGCAAACAGG